rnacentral:rRNA from 1 species
UUACGGGAGGCAGCAGUAGGGAAUAUUGGACAAUGGGCGAAAGCCUGAUCCAGCAAUGCCGCGUGAGUGAUGAAGGCCCUCUGGGUUGUAAAGCUCUUUUAUUAGGGAAGAUAAUGACGGUACCUAAUGAAUAAGCACCGACUAACUACGUGCCAGCAGUCGCGGUAAUACGUAGGGUGCUAGCGUUACUCGGAUUUACUGGGCGUAAAGCACAUGUAGGUGGAUUUGUAAGACAGAAGUGUAAUCCCCAAGCUCAACUUGGGAACUGCUUUUGUGACUGCUUAUCUGGAGUGCGGUAGGGGAUAAUGGAAUUUCUAGUGGAGGGGUAAAAUCCGUAGAUAUUAGAAGGAACACCAAAAGCGAAAGCAAUUAUCUGGGCCGUUACUGACACUGAGAUGUGAAAGCGUGGGGAGCAAACAGGAUUAGAUACCCGCGU